rnacentral:rRNA from 1 species
UACGUAGGGUGCGAGCGUUAAUCGGAAUUACUGGGCGUAAAGCGUGCGUAGGUGGUGAGUUAAGUCUGUCGUGAAAGCCCCGGGCUCAACCUGGGAAUGGCGAUGGAUACUGGCUCACUAGAGUGCGGUAGAGGAGAGUGGAAUUCCCGGUGUAGCAGUGAAAUGCGUAGAGAUCGGGAGGAACAUCAGUUGCGAAGGCGGCUCUCUGGACCAGCACUGACACUGAGGCACGAAAGCGUGGGGAGCAAACAGG